rnacentral:rRNA from 1 species
GAUGAACGCUGGCGGCGUGCCUAAUACAUGCAAGUCGAGCGAACAGACGAGGAGCUUGCUCCUUCGACGUUAGCGGCGGACGGGUGAGUAACACGUAGGUAACCUACCUAUAGACUGGGAUAACUUCGGGAAACCGGAGCUAAUACCGGAUAAUAUUUCGAACCGCAUGGUUCGAUAGUGAAAGAUGGCUUUGCUAUCACUUAUAGAUGGACCUGCGCCGUAUUAGCUAGUUGGUAAGGUAACGGCUUACCAAGGCAACGAUACGUAGCCGACCUGAGAGGGUGAUCGGCCACACUGGAACUGAGACACGGUCCAGACUCCUACGGGAGGCAGCAGUAGGGAAUCUUCCGCAAUGGGCGAAAGCCUGACGGAGCAACGCCGCGUGAGUGAUGAAGGUCUUCGGAUCGUAAAACUCUGUUAUUAGGGAAGAACAAACGUGUAAGUAACUGUGCACGUCUUGACGGUACCUAAUCAGAAAGCCACGGCUAACUACGUG